UACGAAGGGGGCGAGCAUUGUUCGGAAUUACUGGGCGUAAAGGGUGCGUAGGCGGAUUGGAUAGUCAGAUGUGAAAGCCCAAGGCUUAACCUUGGAAUUGCAUUUGAUACUGCCAGUCUGGAGUAUUGGAGAGGAGCGUGGAAUUCUCAGUGUAGAGGUGAAAUUCGUAGAUAUUGAGAGGAACACCAGUGGCGUAGGCGACGCUCUGGCCAAAUACUGACGCUGAGGCACGAAAGUGUGGGGAGCAAACAGG
rnacentral:rRNA from 1 species